CCUACGGGAGGCUGCAGUGAGGAAUAUUGGUCAAUGGGAGAGAUCCUGAACCAGCCAAGCCGCGUGAGGGAAGACGGCCUUAUGGGUUGUAAACCUCUUUUGCCGGAGAACAAAACCCGGGACGUUUCCCGGACUGCGUGUAUCCGAAGCAAAAGCAUCGGCAAACUCCGUGCCAGCAGCCGCGGUAAUACGGAGGUUGCGAGCGUUAUCCGGAUUUAUGGGGUUUAAGGGGUGCGUGGGCGGUCGGUUAAGUCAGCGGGAAAAUUGCGGGGCUCAACCCCGACGAGCCGUUGAAACUGGCAGACUGGAGUGGGCAAGAAGUAGGCGGAAUGCGCGGUGUAGCGGUGAAAUGCAUAGAUAUCGCGCAGAACUCCGAUUGCGAAGGCAGCGUACCGGCGCCAGACUGACGCUGAGGCACGAAAGCGUGGGGAUCGAACAGGAUUAGAUACCCGUGUAGUC
rnacentral:rRNA from 1 species